GCUUGAUCCAACACUGUUAGUGUGGCUGCUGGCAAGGGCUUCCCGGCUGGCUCAGCAGUAAACCUGUCCUUGCUAAAUCAUACUGAGGUACUUGACAAAAGAACCAUGUUCCAGGAAGAGGACAAUUCCAAACUGAGGAUUUGCUCCACAGAGUUUGUGGCUGCCCUUGAGCUAAGAAUGUCUGACAGAUUUCAAUUAAAGGUCUCUAGUGCUAAAGGAGUUUGUGCUCAUGGACCAGUUAUCUCUGUGUCCACCACUACUUGUAAGACCUGGGAAGGUAGAUGUUCCUGAUAAAUUGGACUUUCCUGCUCUGAUGAUUGCUUUGCAGAAAGGACAUGACAGGGCUCUGGGAGGAGUCUCCAGGACUGCAGCCCAACACGGAGCUUUGGUGAUUGUGGUUCCAGGUGCCACAGGAACCAGGGGAUGGAUCUUGCUUCUCAUAUCUGCAGUUCUGCAAAGCAUUGAUCAUCGCGGUGCUCUUUCGGCCAAGCUCAGAGAUGUGGAGUUCACUAUACAGCCAUGUAAUCGAUGGUGAUAUUUGAUAUUCAAUUUAGAAACAAUAUCAUCUCUUAAUCUGACUUUGGGUCACAUCAACAAUGCAAACAGAUUUAUCUCCAGAUUUAAUAAAUAUUUGUCUUUUGCAACAUGUAAAAAUUAAAGCAUUUGGGUGGACACCACUGAGGAGAAUUUCUGCAGUGAAAAAUAUCAGGUUGCAAAAGUAAACAAAGUUUCCUCCUCCUUUUAUUUUUUAACUGUUAAAUUGAAUAUGCUGUUGUUUUUAUCUGGAAAUAGCUAGAAGUUUUCACAGGCAAGCAUGAAUAAUUUCUAUAUCUGAUUUCCCAAUUUAUUUUUUAAACAUAUUUCCAUCUAUAUUUCUGAUUUUUGUUUGUUUAGAACUUGGUUACUGUAUUAGAAGACAAGCAGAAAAAGCUGGGGGAAAAUCUGCUAUUUCCCUACCUUGCAACUCAGAGAUGGGUAAUGAUAAAAGUCAGGGAAGGUCUUUUGCUUUUAAGCAUAUCUAUAGUUUUAGAAUAGCUUUGUCCUUACAUUGAAACCAAAACCCUUUUGUAUCCAUUGUUAGAUGUAAAGGAAAAUAUUCACAUACACAAACAUUCCUUGUUGACAUUCCCUUGGGAAUACUGCAAGUCAUCUGUAAAUGAAAUGCUGGAUUUUUCUUUUCUUCUUUAAUGCUCUCCUUUCUUCUUUAAAACCUUUCUGUCUUCAUGACUGUCCCUCUAGUAAACAAAAUUAGCAAUUCUUACUGAAACUUGUUAAUAUUCAUCUUUAAAUUUUCCAAGGAGAGGCUGCCUAGCCUCAAAUCAUGAGCACAGUGCUGUGCAGCACAUUGAGCUGGGAUUAAAGAAUACAUUUAAGGUGUUCAGCUAGCUAACAUGCUAUCAGGAAAGCUUGGUAGGAAACUAUAAAGUUGAUCUAUCUUUGUAAAUAUAAAUAUAUACUUGAUCUUUUGGAUUUCAGUUAUUUGCAGCCUUAAUGGAAAAAUAAUUGGGUAUUAGCCUGGAACUUUCAGACAAAUCUUCGCUAUCGUCCUGUCUGGCAGGGACAUUGGCUGGGAGGUACACAGAAGUUGUCACUGUCAAAUUCAAACCAACAAAGUUAUUCUUCUUUUUAAAGAUGUAAAAUCAUUAUUUUAACCUUUGGCUUAGCCUGGCAUUAAAUAGUAGCUGGAUUUACUUACCACAUACAAUAAUGGAGUAUUUGUAUCCUGCGUACUGUACUCUGAAAUGGACAGUUGAACUAAGCUUGAAGGGAGGAAGGUUAUUUUUAAAUCAACACUGCUUUAGUAGCAGACCAUAUCUGUUGCAUAGUAAGUAAAAAGACUGAUUUACUGUUAAAGAUAAAUGACAUUCAUUGCUAGCAUUUUCUACAGUGAAACGCUCUGCAGGUUAGGGAUUCCUCUGCAAAUACCUGAGAUCCCAGAAGCUGCAGGGCAGGGAGCUGGGAGCUUCCUGAAAUCGCAGGCAUGCUCACACACCACUGAAAUGCAGAGCGUGCAAGGCCAUUUAUCUGCAUAGACUUAAACACCUGCAAAGUCACCUGUCCAGCCUCCCUGCCCAAAGCCAGUUCUGGCCCAUGGUAAACAGGUAAGCGACUUGUGCAGGAUUAAAUUUCUGCUCCGUAAUCAGCUGGACAAGGACUGCUCUAUUAGACA